GGGACUGAUUUGGUUUCGACAUUUAAUAGUUGUUAAUAUAUGUCAGGUCAAAGUUUGUACUCUUUGUAAAAAAGACUAAAUUAUUAAUAAAUGCUAAUAAUAUAAUGCCGUUUAUCUUUAAAAUAGUAAAACCAAAAAGUUAUUCAACUGUUUUAAAUUUUGCUGUUUAAUUACUUAACUUAGGUUAUUAAAUAUUUUUUCGCUAUCGCUGGACUUUUCGCUAGUAUAUAGUUUAGACUAAAUUUAAAUUUUAAAAGUUGUUCAAGUUUUUUGAACUAAACCUGUAAGUACGUAGAUUAAUUGACAUUAGAUGGACAUGGGUUCAAUUCCCAUCAGUUCCA
rnacentral:tmRNA from 12 species